rnacentral:rRNA from 1 species
UACAGAGGUCUCAAGCGUUGUUCGGAAUCACUGGGCGUAAAGGGUGCGUAGGCUGCGAUGCAAGUCAGAUGUGAAAUCCCGGGGCUCAACCUCGGAAUGGCAUCCGAUACUGCAUUGCUUGAGGACUGGAGAGGAGUCUGGAAUUCAUGGUGGAGCAGUGAAAUGCGUAGAUAUCAUGAGGAACACUAGUGGCGUAGGCGAGACUCUGGACAGUUCCUGACGCUGAGGCACGAAGGCCAGGGGAGCAAAC